UACGUAGGGUGCAAGCGUUGUCCGGAAUUAUUGGGCGUAAAGAGCUCGUAGGCGGUCUGUCGCGUCGGAUGUGAAAAUCCAGGGCUCAACCCUGGACCUGCAUUCGAUACGGGCAGACUAGAGUUCGGCAGGGGAGACUGGAAUUCCUGGUGUAGCGGUGAGAUGCGCAGAUAUCAGGAGGAACACCGGUGGCGAAGGCGGGUCUCUGGGCCGAUACUGACGCUGAGGAGCGAAAGCGUGGGGAGCGAACAGG
rnacentral:rRNA from 1 species